rnacentral:ribozyme from 1 species
ACACUGUUUGCGUUACGUGUCUGGGACAGCACAAUCUCGUCGAGAUAUUCAUCACUCUGUAGCGGCUCUGUCACCAGGCUUUGUGGUUGUGGACCCCAAUACAAAAUCUGAAAAAGUGGGGUUAGAUGACCUAUUCUGUA